GCAAAAAACUUUGGCCAGCUUAUUGGGCCAUAAAAUUAGAAAAAGUGAUUGGGGUGUCUAAAUUAAAUAAAGGCUGCAGAGAGUAAAAACUUUGGGCAGCUUAUUGGGCCAUAAAAUUAGAAAAAGUGAUGUUGGGGUGUCUAAAUUAAAUCAAGGCUGCAGAGAGUAAAAACUUUGGGCAGCAUAUUGGGCCAGAAAAUUAGAAAAAAGUGAUGUGGGGUGUGUAAAUUAAAUAAAGGCUGCAGAGAGUAAAAACUUUGGGAAGCAUAUUGGGCCAGAAAAUUAGAAAAAAGUGAUGUCGGGUGUGUAAAUUAAAUAAGGGCUGCAGAGAGUAAAAACUUUGGGCACCUUAUUGGGCCAUAAAAUUAGAAAAAGUGAUGUGGGGUGUCUAAAUUAAAUAAAGGCUGCAGAGAGUAAAAACUUUGGGCAGCAUAUUGGGCCAGAAAAUUAGAAAAAAGUGAUGUGGGGUGUGUAAAUUAAAUAAAGGCUGCAGAGAGUAAAAACUUUGGGCAGCAUAUUGGGCCAGAAAAUUAGAAAAAAGUGAUGCGUCAAGCGUGACACUAAUGGUAGGGUCAUCAUCCGACUUCUUGGAAGAGGGUAAGUCAUCCUAAAUGUACAUUUAAUUUUAUCUUUAUAUUACUAUGCUU
rnacentral:lncRNA from 1 species